AGUGAACGCUGGCGGUAGGCCUAACACAUGCAAGUCGAACGGCAGCACAGUAAGAGCUUGCUCUUACGGGUGGCGAGUGGCGGACGGGUGAGGAAUACAUCGGAAUCUACUUUUUCGUGGGGGAUAACGUAGGGAAACUUACGCUAACACCGCAUACGACCUACGGGUGAAAGCAGGGGAUCUUCGGACCUUGCGCGAUUGAAUGAGCCGAUGUCGGAUUAGCUAGUUGGCGGGGUAACGGCCCACCAAGGCGACGAUCCGUAGCUGGUCUGAGAGGAUGAGCAGCCACACUGGAACUGAGACACGGUCCAGACUCCUACGGGAGGCAGCAGUGGGGAAUAUUGGACAAUGGGCGCAAGCCUGAUCCAGCCAUACCGCGUGUGUGAAGAAGGCCUUCGGGUUGUAAAGCCCUUUUGUUGGGAAAGAAAAGAAGCAGGUUAAUACCCCGCUGUUCUGACGGUACCCAAAGAAUAAGCACCGGCUAACUUCGUG
rnacentral:rRNA from 1 species